GUACGUGUACAAAUAUCAUACACACAAGUGCACACGUAGUACACACAUAGUACACACGUAGCACACACAUAGUACACACGUAGCACCCGCUUCAGUAGACUAGUACACACAUAGUACACACAUCGUAAACACAUAGUACACACAUAGUAGACUAGUAAACACGUAGUACACACAUAGUACACACAUAGUAGAUCAGUACACAUCUAGUACAUACAAAGUACACAUACAGUAGAGUAGUACACACAUCGUAAACACAUAGUACACACAUAGUAGACUAGUUCACAUCUAGUACACACAAAGUACACAUAUAGUAGACGACACACAUAGUACACAUACAUAUAACCUCAUGUAUAUCACAGGUACAUGUUCAUAUAAUACAUGUACAGAUAUAGUACACACAUAAUUCAGCUAUAGUACGCACAAAACUCUUAUCCAACCUCCCGUAAAGACAUAUAGCCGUUGUUUCAACAGUCCGACUGCACAGAGCUAUUCUGGGAAAAAGUAAACAAGCCUCAGGCGACACACACACACACACUCACGCACACAAACUCAUACACAAACACACAUACUCAACACACAAACACACGCACACACACACACACAUACACACAAGCACACGCACAAGAACGCACACAAACGCACACACACAAGGAAGCACACACAAGUACGCAAACACACACACACAAGGACGCACAAACACUCACACACACUUGCACACACACACACACACACACACACACACACACACACUCUCACACACACACGCACACGCACGCACACAGGCACACACAGUCACACACUCUCCCAGGAGUGAACACAAGAGGUGCAGCCCAGCUGUAUUUUCAGGCCGUUCACUUCCUUAUUGCGUACCUGCUCCGGAGUGUGUGGACGCCUCCCUCCCAACUGUCACUGCUGUUGUUUGGGCUGUGCGUGUGCGUGUCGCCCCAGGGGGGAUGGUGUAGUGGUGUUGAUCGUGUCUCAUAUCCGUACCUGGAUGUCUCCGGGGGGGGGGGAGGAACGCCUGAGUGACCCUCUGUAGAGAGCACAGAGUACCAGACCGUGCCGGGAAGGACGCAGAAUAACGCUACAGCGUUUCCGGGACCAGAAUAGCCCGACUGAGUCCUCUGUGAGCAAGAAAACACACCGCUACGUCCACGCCACUGUACACCCUCAUCUGGUCGGAGGACAGGACGGUGGCUCCAGCCUGCGGACUGUGUGUGCAGGCGUUGGGGGGGGCCGGCGUGGAGGGGGUCUACCCCAGUCCAACAGAUCACUGGUGAUAGUGAACGGCGUUCUGAUUGAGCGGGCAUACAGCCUUUAGGUUAGGAGAUCCUGGAGGGGUGCUCGGAUGAGGAAAGGCUGGUGAUAAGGUCGCUGUGUGUGUGUGUGUGUGUGUGUGUGUGUGUGUGUGUGUGUGUGUGUGUGUGUGUGUGUGUGUGUGUGUGUGUGUGUGUGUGUGUGUGUGUGUGUGUGUGUGUGUGUGUGUGACUAUACUCUCCGUGCCAGGCUCUAGUUACAGGACCUGCUGUGUGGCUAGUGUGUGUUUUUGUGUUUGUGUCUUUGUGUGGGUGGGUGCGUCUUUGUGUGUGUGUUUGUGUGUGUGUGAGUGUGCCUCUUUGUGUGUAUGUUUUUGCGUGUUUUCAGUCUGCAUGCCUGUGUGGAUGGGUUCCAGUUACACAUGGUCCAAGCCCGGCCGAGACGUGUCUCUCUCUCUCUCUCUCUCUCUCUCUCUCUCUCUCUCUCUCUCUCUCUCUCUCUCUCUCUCUCUCUCUCUCUCUCUCUCUCUCUCUCUCUCUCUCUCUCUCUCUCUCUCUCUCUCUCUCUCUCUCUCUCUCUCUCUCUCUCCUAACUUGAUUUGCUUUCCUUUUUCUUUAUAAAACCUAAACUCUUUUACAGUGACAGCAGAAACGGUAAUAGAACCAUCUAGUGACCAUAGAAGGGUUACAACAACAGUCAAACCAUAACAUUGACGGUGGAACAGUAAGAGUAACAGUAGAUAUUAUAUACAGUUACAAAAGAAGUGUUAGUAGAACAGCUACAGUACAACAGUAUAAGCAGAAUAACAGUAACAGUAGAAGCCUUACAGGAACAGUACAAGCCUUACAGUAACAGUAGAGGCCCGUGAGGGAGAGUUCUAUUUCUGACUCAGGACAAACAAACAGUCUGAUUGUCCUGCUGCCCGGUUUGUGAUACGAAACCAACGCACACGGGAAACCUGACCUGUGUGUGUGUGCGUGUCUGUGUCUGUGUGUGUGUGUGUGUGUGUGUGUGUGUGUGUGUGUGUGUGUGUGUGGCUGUGUGUGUGUGUUUGUGCAUAUAUGUCUUUGCGAGUGUUCACGUCUGUGUACUUGUGUGCAUGGAUAUGUGCGACUGUGUGUGUGUGUGUGUGUGUGUGUGUUUGUGUGUGUGUGUGUGUGUGUCUUUAAACUGAUCCAUCCCAGCUCCCUUGUCUUGGCCCUCUCCCGUCCAUGAAGGCUUAUCACAUGUGUAUUAAGGAGAGCCUUUAUGCACUGGAGUGUCGACCUGUAUGAAAGCUGGGCAGACUGGGCUCUACAGGUGAUCACCUGCUGCUAGUCAUGUGAUCACCUGUUGUCUGUUGUCAUCUUGAUCGAUUUGUCUCUCUAUUUACUCAGGUCUCUCUGUGUCUCUGUCUUUCUCUCUGUCUCUCUCUCUCUCUCUCUCUCUCUCUCUCUCUCUCUCUCUCUCUCUCUCUCAUUCUCUCUGUCUGUCUCUCUCCAUCUCUAUUUCUCUCUCUUUGUCUGCAGGGUCGUUUCUAAUUUUAGGCUGAUUCCAUUGAUAGAAAUACAUGUAAUGUUUACACUAUUAUGGGUGCGCUUAUCUGUGUGUGUGUGUGUGUGUGUGUGUGUGUGUGUGUGUGUGUGUGUGUGUGUGUGUGUGUGUGUGUGUGUGUGUGUGUGUGUGUGUGUGUGUGUGUGUGUGUGUGUGUGCACGUGUGUGUGUGUGUGUGUCUGUAUACCUCUGCUGCCAACAUUCCUGGGUCUAUUAAUCAUCACAUUGAUAUCUGUGUUUCUUCAGUGUUUGUGAAUACGUGCGUGUGUUGUGCGUGCAUGCGUGUGUGUGUGUGUGUGUGUGUGUGUGUGUGUGUGUGUGUGUGUGUGUGUGUGUGUGUGUGUGUGUGUGUGUGUGUUUUAUGUCUGUAUCUGUGUCUUGUGUGUGUUGUGAUAGGAAUGUUAAGGUCCUCUCUGCUUCUGUGUGGUUCCAGACGAGGUGUGACUGUGCAUAUUCAUGAGGACCCUUCAUCCCCUCUCAUCCUUCCCCUUGUUGAGAGAGAGAGAGAGAGAGAGAGAGAGAGAGAGAGAGAGAGAGAGAGAGAGAGAGAGAGAGAGAGAGAGAGAGAGAGAGAGAGAGAGAGAGAGAGAGAGAGAGAGAGACCUUGUGAUAUAUGGGAUGUGCAACAUACCACAAAUACACUGUUGUAAAACUUUUGGUAAGCCGUGUUGUAAACUUUGUUGUUGUCGGCUAAGUUGUCGGCUAGGUGUGUUGUCAUGUUUUAAACUUUAAGGUGUUGGCUGGGCAUGUUGUUAUAAACUUUAAGGUGUUAGCUAGGCGUUUCGUAAACUUUAAGGUGUUGGCUGGGCAUGUUGUUAUAAACUUUAAGGUGUUAGCUAGGCGUUUCGUAAACUUUAAGGUGUUGGCUGGGCAUGUUGCUAUAAACUUUAAGGUGUUGGCUAGGCGUGUUGUAAACUUUCAGGUGUUUGCUAGGCGUGUUGUAAACUUUAGGGUUUUGUCUAGGCGUGUUGUAAACUUAAGGUGCUGGCUAGGCAUGUUGUAAACUUUAAGGUGUUGUCUAGGCGUGUUGUAAGCUUUAAGGUUUUGUCUAGGCGUGUUGUAAACUUUAAGGUGCUGCUUCGGCAGGCGGAGGCCAUCUUGGUUUGUACCUCCGCUGGAUCCUGUGCUUGUGAAACUCUCGUCGUGUUUUCCGCUGGUCUGUGUCUUGUGUGGGCGGGGUCGACCCACCCUUGAGUCACGCCGCAGGAUUUCCUCUUUUGAUCGUUUCAUGCGUUCAUGUCGGAAACCGCUGGUUACUCAGACCGAGAGACGAACGUAUAACAAAUGUAUAGAAGUAGACUCAUCCUAGUCCGCACACUCAUAGCACAACAUGUUAAUGCACACAUGAAGGCUGCACAAUCACACACACCAAAUAACAUGCACACGCACGUGCACACUAUAACCAAGAGUUAAUGUGUGUAGGUGUGUGCUUUGCGUCAAGGGGCAGCAAAGCAGGUGUAAGCUGUGGAAUUUGUUGAUAGAGAGGCACUCCGUGUGUGUGUCUGUGUGUGUGUGUGUGUGUGUGUGUGUGUGUGUGUGUGUGUGUGUGUGUGUGUGUGUGUGUGUGUGUGUGUGUGUGUGAACAUAUCUGUCAUUCAGUGUUUCCGUAAGUCUGCUACAAUGCUGAAAGACGGAAAAUGUGUUGGAUGUUGGUUGAAGUAUGAAGUGUGAGCUUGUGUGUGUGUUUGCGUGCAUAUGUAUUUCUGUGUGUGGUUGUGUGUGUGUGGUUGUGUGUCUGCAUCCACUCAAUUGUUGAGGAAAAGGGAAACUACAGAAACGUCAACACAUCACAUCGGCACACCGCAGGGUUUUAAUGAGUGGUAUAUUUGGACUAUUUUUACAAUCGUUGAUUUGUUUUCUCAUCCAUGUCAUUAUCACUAUGUGGCCAAUUAAAAUGGAGGAACACAAACGUGGGCGGGGCUUAUGUAUUUCUAGUGCGUAUAAAAAUGACGAGGUCUCGCCGAGGUCUUGUGCUUGCAUCUUGUGCUCGAUUCAACGGCUCAAAUAAACAAAUAUUCACUUAUCUUUAUUUGCUGCAACACAUUUUGAACGAUUAUGCUAACAUGUGGAACAUGUUAGCCACAAGCUAGUUGAUCUCGUGAGGCCUAAAAAAAAAAAGGUUUGGUUCCUGUUGGUUGUCAGUUGAGGUCAUGGGUAGGUAGGGAAUUUAUUUUAUUUUUUUAUUUUAUUUUUUCCAGCGGCAGCGAAUGAUAAGUAGGUUUUUUUCAUUUAUAAACGAGAGAAUGCGCUCAUCCUUGUACAGAAUGAAGAGGUGCUGUGCAAAAACGUAAUUAUAGUUUGCAUCAAAAAAAAAAAACUUUUUUUUUUUUUUUUUUUAAAGCUCAUAAAAUAAUAUGAGUCGCACACAAAUGGACAGGGUCGGUCGGAAACCGGAACCAAACAAAAUUUUUUUUUAGGCCUGGGCAUAAAGCGGUUGUUAGCUUGCAACAAAUCAAAUAAACAUUUUAGAUAUUCAAACCAAAUGGAGGUGAUUGUCUCAGGUUCUCAGAGCGUAAGGGACGGGGGGGGCCAGAACAUCUCCCGAGGGGGGGGUCGAGUCCGGUCCUGUGUUGACACCCCAGCGGGUCCCAGAAGUGGAGGAAUGACAGAUGGCCGUACAGUGAGUCGCCCUGUAUCACACGGUUAGCCCAAGUCUCACAGUCUGGGCUUCAUGAUUUAAUGAACGCUCGCUAGACAUCUCGGGAACUCAAUUCGAUUCGACCUAAAUUUAAACCUUCAAGUAUCUUGUACCGUAGGAACACAACUACAUAACAUUAGGAUUUAGAACAAAAGAAAAAUAACCAGCCUUAAAGGACGGCUGGUUAGUACCGGUUCCAGACUUCCAUGGAGUCGGUUGUAAUUCUGCCUAAACGGGGCGCAUUCCAAUCGACACUGAAAGAACAGAGGUUGACGACUAUUCUGUUUUGGCACGUUGUCUGUCAGGUAGAGUUCCCUGAGUUAUUCGCGCACAGGCACAAGCACAGGCACACACACACACACACACCUCUGGAACACCUGGUCCGCUGGCUGGGAGCAGUGUGGGUUCAGACCCCCUGCUGGAACCAGAAUCACUCUCAGCUCUGCAUACCAGCUCCAUAAAUCUGCUCUGAAACCGCUCGUUUGGAAACUAUGCACACACACACACACACGCACGCACACACAUACACACACACACACACACACACACACACACACACACACACACACACACACACACACACACACACACACACACACACACACACACACACACACACUCCCUCUCACAAAAACACACACACACGCGGUCACAUGUUGUCUCUCUCACUAACAGAGACACACACUCACAUAAAUAAGUGGUAGUUAAACCCUGAUGACAAGUUAUACACAAACACACACACACACGCGCAAACACACAACGUCCACACACACUCUCAAGCAUGCACUAACAGACAACAUCAUAAAUACUUCACAGACACUAGUAUGCAAGCAACUCUAAACACACACACACACACACACACACACACACACACACACACACACACACACACACACACACACACACACACACACACAUGGACUGUGGGGCCAGCUGCUUCGGAAGUGAAGGUUCUUUGAAUAGGAGUGACAGCUGUGGAUUCCUCAGAGAGAGAGGAGGCAGGCCGAGAGACAUAGAGACCCAUAGAUACAGAGAGAGAGAGA
ensembl:lncRNA